rnacentral:rRNA from 1 species
AGUGAACGCUGGCGGUAGGCCUAACACAUGCAAGUCGAACGGCAGCACAGUAAGAGCUUGCUCUUACGGGUGGCGAGUGGCGGACGGGUGAGGAAUACAUCGGAAUCUACUUUUUCGUGGGGGAUAACGUAGGGAAACUUACGCUAAUACCGCAUACAACCUACGGGUGAAAGCAGGGGAUCUUCGGACCUUGCGCGAUUGAAUGAGCCGAUGUCGGAUUAGCUAGUUGGCGGGGUAAAGGCCCACCAAGGCGACGAUCCGUAGCUGGUCUGAGAGGAUGAUCAGCCACACUGGAACUGAGACACGGUCCAGACUCCUACGGGAGGCAGCAGUGGGGAAUAUUGGACAAUGGGCGCAAGCCUGAUCCAGCCAUACCGCGUGGGUGAAGAAGGCCUUCGGGUUGUAAAGCCCUUUUGUUGGGAAAGAAAAGCAGCAGGUUAAUACCCCGCUGUUCCGACGGUACCCAAAGAAUAAGCACCGGCUAACUUCGUG